GGGUGAGUAACACGUGGGUAACCUGCCCAUCAGAAGGGGAUAACACUUGGAAACAGGUGCUAAUACCGUAUAACAAUCGAAACCGCAUGGUUUUGAUUUGAAAGGCGCUUUCGGGUGUCGCUGAUGGAUGGACCCGCGGUGCAUUAGCUAGUUGCUGAGGUAACGGCUCACCAAGGCCACGAUGCAUAGCCGACCUGAGAGGGUGAUCGGCCACAUUGGGACUGAGACACGGCCCAAACUCCUACGGGAGGCAGCAGUAGGGAAUCUUCGGCAAUGGACGAAAGUCUGACCGAGCAACGCCGCGUGAGUGAAGAAGGUUUUCGGAUCGUAAAACUCUGUUGUUAGAGAAGAACAAGGAUGAGAGUAACUGUUCAUCCCUUGACGGUAUCUAACCAGAAAGCCACGGCUAACUACGUGCCAGCAGCCGCGGUAAUACGUAGGUGGCAAGCGUUGUCCGGAUUUAUUGGGCGUAAAGCGAGCGCAGGCGGUUUCUUAAGUCUGAUGUGAAAGCCCCCGGCUCAACCGGGGAGGGUCAUUGGAAACUGGGAGACUUGAGUGCAGAAGAGGAGAGUGGAAUUCCAUGUGUAGCGGUGAAAUGCGUAGAUAUAUGGAG
rnacentral:rRNA from 1 species